UCUCUGUGGCGUAGUUGGUAGCGUCUUUACUUAGUAAUUAUAAGUCCUAGGUUCAAAUCCCGGUCAGGGUAAAA